CAAGACGUAGCUUAAACUAAAGCACUCAGCUUACGCCUGAGAGAUAUCCGAUCACAUCGAAUCGUCUUGA
rnacentral:tRNA from 1 species